UACAGAGGCCUCGAGCGUUAGGCGGAAUCACUGGGCUUAAAGCGUGUGUAGGCGGACUUCUAAGUACCUUGUGAAAUCCCACGGCUUACCCGUGGAACGGCUGGGUAUACUGGGGAGUCUUGAGCCACCUAGGGGCGAGUGGAACAAAUGGUGGAGCGGUGAAAUGCGUAGAUAUCAUUUGGAACGCCAAUGGUGAAAACAACUCGCUGGGGGUGUGCUGACGCUGAGACACGAAAGCCAGGGGAGCGAACGGG
rnacentral:rRNA from 1 species